GAUGAACGCUGGCGGCGUGCCUAAUACAUGCAAGUAGAACGCUGAAGGAGGAGCUUGCUCUUCUGGAUGAGUUGCGAACGGGUGAGUAACGCGUAGGUAACCUGCCUGGUAGCGGGGGAUAACUAUUGGAAACGAUAGCUAAUACCGCAUGACAACAGUUAUUGCAUGAUAACUGUUUAAAAGGGGCAACUGCUCCACUACCAGAUGGACCUGCGUUGUAUUAGCUAGUUGUUGAGGUAACGGCUCACCAAGGCGACGAUACAUAGCCGACCUGGUAGGGUGAUCGGCCACACUGGGACUGAGACACGGCCCAGACUCCUACGGGAGGGAGCAGUAGGGAAACUUCGGCAAUGGACGGAAGUCUGACCGAGCAACGCCGCGUGAGUGAAGAAGGGUUUCGGAUCGUAAAGCUCUGUUGUAAGAGAAGAACGAGUGUGAGAGUGGAAAGUUCACACUGUGACGGUAUCUUACCAGAAAGGGACGGCUAACUACGUG
rnacentral:rRNA from 1 species